rnacentral:rRNA from 1 species
GACGAACGCUGGCGGCGUGCUUAACACAUGCAAGUCGAACGAAGUGUCGCACGGGUGAGUACUACGUGGGUAACCUGCCCUCCUUUAUGGGAUAAGCCUUGGAAACGGGGUCUAAUACCGAAUAAAGGGGGAUGGGCUCGCGGCCUAUCAGCUUGUUGGUGGGGUGGUGGCCUGACACGGCGGUGACGGGUAGCCGGCCUGAGAGGGCGACCGGGCACAUGGGGACGGAGAUACGGCCCAGACGCGGAAGGGGGGGAGAAGUGGGGGAUAGUGCACAAUGGGCGAAAGACGGAUGCAGCGAGGCCGAGUGGGGGAUGAAGGCUUUCGGGUUGUAAACGUCGUGCGGAAGCGAAUGGGUAGGUGGAGAAGAAGCGCCGGCUAACUACGUGCCAGCAGCCGCGGUAAUAC